ACCGCGGUAGCCCAGUUGGUUAGGGCGUCUGCAGUACUGAUGCCGAAGGUCGCAGGUUCAAAUCCUGCCUGCGGCG